rnacentral:lncRNA from 1 species
CAGGCCACUGCACAAAGUUUUUUCUGUGCCAGCAAAAAUUGCCCUGAGCUCUUUUGUAAACAUGGGGUGAAGGCCCGGACAUGCCGUUUAACAGGUACACAGACCAUUAACUGCGCCUAUGACCUCCCUGGAGCAUGUGCAGCCCUGGCGCCUUAUGUCUGUCCUGGACAAGACUUCUUUCAGGGUUUCCUGCCCACCUCACCUGUUCAGGGGCUUGGUUUGGAAACCUGAGCUGAGGCGCAAGGGUUAGGGGUGGCCAAGAGAGGGCAGAAAGAAUGGAAAUUUCUCUUCUGUUUCUAAAGGUCUGUAAGUCAACCAACUCUCUCUUGUAAAAACCAACCUACAAACAAGUCACUGAACAUAAUAAAAGGAGAGUGGGUGUGGGGGCAGGGGGCAGGUCCAUUAACUCUAGUCAGGCAUCAGAAUUACCUGAGCUACUUCUAACGAAUUCAGGUUCCCAGGCCUGGAUGCCAAAUCCUUGGGGGUGGAGCUUAGGAAUCUGUACUUUUAAAAGUUUUCUCUUGCAAGUUUUUUAAAAAAUAUAUUAAAAUUGAGGUAUAAUUUGCAUUCAGUGAAAUGCAAAGAUUGUGUUACUAUUUAUUGAGUCUUGCGCAUUUAUAGAUCUUUCAUCCUUUUAUUGCAGAGGAGUAAGGCCAUUGCAUGGAUGCCCCAUAGUUUGUUUAUCCACUCUCCUGUGCAUGAACAUUUGGGUUGUUUCCAGUUUGGGGUGAUUGUAAAUGAAGCUUCCAUGAGCCUUUGUGUACAAGUCUCUUUGUGGGCGGAUAGUUUCAUUUCUUUAGGAGUGGAACUGCUGGGAUGUAGGGUGGGUAAUUUGCUAGCUUUAUGAGAAACUGUCAAAGAGUAUCUUUUAAUUACAAAACAGUAGACCUCAAACAAUACAAAACUGUACAAAUUAAAAACAAUUCAUAGUCUAAUCCUCAGUCUGUGUGAUCAUCUGUCAUCUAUCACCUACCUCUUCCUAUAAUAACAAUAAAGAUCUUUAAGAUUAUACAUUGUCCUCUGCAUACAGCUUUAACUGUAUCCCUCAGCUAUCUAGGUGGACAGAUAUUCCUUUUAAUCACUUUUUAGAUCGCUUUUGAUUUCCUUUUUGAUCCAGGGGUUAAUUAAGAUCUGUUGGGCAAGCUAGCCAUAGUGCUGUUUUGUUGGUAACAAACUGUUCUUGGUUCUGCUACUUAUCCUAUUCAAACAACAGACUAUUGUGGACAGGUCAUUUGUCAGAACAUACAGAUCUGCCUAGCCAUUCUGAACAGCUAUCCUGCACUGGGGAAUCAAUGACUAAGUCUGGCCUGACUUAAUCACCCUGAGUGCCACCAGCUCAGUGAGUGAAACACGCCUACCUUAUGGCUUUGAGUUUGCCUCGAAGGUGAACAGAGAAACAUCCCAAGGCCACUCAGGAUUCUGAGAUGGGAAGGAACCCAUAUUUACUCAUCACAUCCCCGCCCUGCAUUUAAGCCCUGUGCCUAGCUGGGGGGUCCUCACCUUCAUCUUCUAGGUGAGUUCAUCCAGUCUCAGAAAAGUGACUUACCACCCUUACACGGCAGGGACCUGGGAAGGAGAACCAGAACCAGGGCCCAGCCACGUUCCACUGCAGGUGUCAGGCAUAGGGCCACAGCCAGAGGAAGGGAUGGGGAGAUAAAACAGCCCUUGGGCUCAAGUAGCUCAGGGAGGGGAGAAGAGCUGUAUCAGGGCUGUUAAAUGAAGAAUCCCAAGGGAAGGUGUAAGGGAGGAGGGCCCAAUGGCUGGGAGUGUGGGGAUUUGGGAUCAUUCAUUUAAGCCUCCUUGCCCACCCCCUUCAUGGAUGAAGAGACUGAGGUCUGAGUGAAGCAUGGAUCAACAAGAGGGCCUUGUUCACAAACUUGUUCUCCCUACCUGCCUGCCGUUCAGGGCCCAUGUUAAACAGGUGAAGUGGAGGACGGUGUUUUUACUUCUUGUCUCAGACUUCUGAUGACUCUUCACGACUCUCAGAUCCUGAUUGUAUCAUAGCAGUGGGCCAGGGGUAAAAGGGCAAAGCUGUACUGAUCUGAAAGAUCCCUAGGGCUUGGCUGUGCAAGGGCCGCCUGCGAGUUCUGGACCCGAUAUUCCUGGACUGCAGGGCUGCCUGCUCAGGGAGGAGCCUGGCUCCUAGCUCUGGUGGAAUCAAACUGGGGCAGUUGUGAGAAUGCUGGUGAGCCUCCCUGCUGGAGUGUGGGACAGCUGCAUUCUUCUGGUUCCGCCCAUCUUGGGUCCCCCCGGCCACACACUGCCCCUCAACUUUGCCCUCUGAGCCCAUAGCUCCGAGGUUGGGACCACAUCCCUGCUGGGUCCCUCGUGUGGACAUUCUGAGAGUUUACCCCUUCUCACCACUCUCCUUUGCAUCCACCAUCCCCUUUCCUGCAGAAAGUCCUUCACUCAGCCAGAUUGCCCGUCCCCUGGUGGCAGGGUGGAGCAGUGGGGUGGGGUUGGCCUUGGGUUUCAGCAUUGUCAUGCUUAGUGGGGGAAGGACUCCAGAAGGGGGGGUGGUCCUGAAGCCUCUGCCCUUUUACUCCCUAGCCAGAUGGCACCUGGAUGCCUUGUCUAUUCAGUCCUGAUGGUGGACUCAGGCCGUGAUUUUAAGGACAUUUGUGCUAUCUCCAGGUGGAUGCCACCCACAACCCAAGACAACAGCUCCUCACAGCCUCCAUGCCUCCUGGGGUCAGCUCUCAGCAUGUCACUGUCCUGCUCCCCAGUCCUCGGUGGCUCCCUAGUGCUUUGUGAAAUCAAGGACUAACUCCACAGCCUGGUGUUCGAAGCCCUUCAUAAUCUGGCUCCUGGCCAGUGUUGCUUCUCACCUGCCACCACUUCUCUCUGCUCCUUGUCCUCUGGCUGGCUCUGCUCCUGGACCGAGCCUGUACCCCUGCCUGAGAGCCCCUCCCCUCCUCCUUCCCACUAUCAAGGGUCUGUUUGCGCUGCUUCCUGUAGCCUCCCUUGAGCCCCAAGUGGUGCCAGGCAUGUAGUGAGCACUCAGCAAAGGUUAUCUGGGUGUGAGUGGACUUAAGCUCCUCCCUGCUCUGAGCCUCUGUGGUCCUUUUAUCCAGCCACCUCAGGCACCUCAGGGGAGUGACAGAUGCCUAGAAUCCAGCACUACCUGGCACUCUGUGGUGCUCAGAGCACCAAUAAAGGCCAUCUCAUUCCCUCUGUCCUGAAAUGAGAGCCUAUAGUUGGAACAUCUGAGUGGGACCAGGUUUGGAAGUUGUGUGCAGCCAGCACCAUCCAUCUAUCCAACCAAUAUUUGUUCUAGACCCUGUUCUAAGCUCUGGGGAUGUGACAGGUGAACAAGACAGACCAAUUCAGGCCCUCAUGGAGCUGACCACGGAACGGAUGAAUGAGUUAUCACAGGGCACUGAAAUCCUUGGCCACUGGCUUGCUGUGUGACCGAGGCAAGCCCUUUCCUCUCUCUGGUCCUGACCUGGAAGGAAACUUCGUGUUGGAGAGAAAUUGCUGCUGAGUGAAGCAGGGGAAAGACCCUUCUCUCUGUUAGGGGGCAUACGUCAUCCAUUAACCCUGUGCUGCUCUGUGGCCCCCUUUAAGGAUUCCCAAUGUAGUCCUGUUGGUUUUCAGGAUGUUUUGGCCUUUGCUCUGUAAGGGGGCACCAGAUUUGGGGAUUGACGCUCAGAGGUGCUCUGAGCAGAGCUAUAGCAAUGGGCUUUUAAUGAAAAACACUUCCUUGGGUUUUUAUUCCAUUAUUGGUAGAAGAGUAUAGAUCACAAUAGAC